rnacentral:sRNA from 2 species
UCCGGGCGGACGCCGAACCCUGCCGCCGCCCGGACGACGGGUCGACACAGGGAGUGAUCGGCAGGGAUGGAGGACCCGAGCACGACGGGACGGCUCCCCCGGAGCCGGCCCUUGGGGUGAAGCCGCCCUCGGCGGCCGGGCAUUCUUCGCCUGCCCGAACCCGACAGGCAAUCCUUCACAGGCGGCUGACGAAGGGUAU